GGCUGUUGAAGAGUAUUGGGAGAAAUAUAUAAUGGCCUGGAAGAGAGUGAACGGACGGCGCUGACAAAAUUACCAAGAAAUUCCAAGGAUCCAGAGUUCAAUGGAGCAACGAGUUGGAGAAGAUUUGACAUGAUGAUUAAAUUGAUUUUGUUCCUUAAACACAGGUUUUCAGGGCUGGAGCAAAACACCGGAGAGGAGAAUUGCUGAGCUGUUCUGAGAAAUGAAAUGACUAACCUUUUUUCCUUUUAAUUUGUUAAGCUUGGGUGGAGCAUGUUGAGUUUUUUGCCACAUGAGAUGUGUCAAAAAAGAGAGGGGUUUAAGAUUUAAUUUGUUUAAUUUGAAAGGGGUUUUACUAGGAUUUUAUAAUGAUUGGGGUUGUUUGGUAAUCUAGAUAUAGUAAAACUGAGGCGGAGAUUGUUAAUUCUAAAGAAAGGAGUAAAAUGAACUGAAUUCUGUUUAGAAGAUAAAUUGCUGGGGUUAAAAAGAAGUUGUACACCAAAUUUAAAGGGGAAACUGUGGGAAUAAAGGAUAUGCUUUGGGGAAAAUAGUGAAGAUUUUAUGAGUAGAAAAUGUGGGAUUUCUUUUUGAUUUUUAGGAUAAGUUGUAACAGUGACAUAAUGCUAGAAUGUUGUUAUAAGGUAGGCUUUAGGGUAGAGGAGAGCUUUUUAUGAGGAUGUUAAAAGUCUCGCUGACUCAAAUGAAUAAUAUUGGAGAUUAUAUAUGUAGAAAUGAUUUUUUCAUACACAUUGCAUUUUGGUGCCU
ensembl:lncRNA